UCAGUUGGAGUAAAAUAUCUGACUCACAAAACGUCGUCAGUGUUGACUCUUUCAACAUGCAAACACCACCCGUCUGGUUGAAAACCUUGAUUGACUUUGAUGUGCUCAGUCAGAAUCGGUGGAAACAGAUGGCCGAGGAGAGGACCAACGCUGAGGCCUGCCAAUCCAGAGUCCUCUAAAAAAACAACGCGAAGACCUGGCUCUGGGAGGAAAGGAAACCCCUGAGCUUCUCAAGAAGCUGCCGCAUUCUUGAGAUUAGGGCUAGAAAAACGUAGACCACUGCGGUUAAUGCCCCAGACAAAAGAAUGGAACAAUUUAUAAGUUAARAAUUCAAGCUCGGAGCUCAAUCAAAGGUUUGUCGUCCGCAUUGCCAGACCUGAGGCUUUGGUUUUGUUGUUUUAGGUAAAUAAUCACGCUUAAAAGAUUCAGCGAAGAUGGGAUUCAAAUCUUCCCCCACCACCCCCCGUUAACCUUACAUUCUUCCAACUGUCAUCAGAAUGGAUUUUAGUGAGCGCCUUUAUUUUAAGCAGGAAAACUGUUUGUUUUUUUUUUCUUUUUGAAUACCAUUUUAAAGAGCUUUUUAUUUAA